rnacentral:rRNA from 1 species
AUUGAACGCUGGCGGCAGGCCUAACACAUGCAAGUCGAACGAGUGGCGGACGGGUGAGUAAUGGCGGGGAAAGUGCCUGAUGGAGGGGGAUAACUACGGGAAAAGGUAGCUAAUACUGCAUAACAUCCGAUGUGCCCAGGUGGGCUUAGCUGGUUGGUGGGGUAACGGCUCACCAAGGCGACGAUCCCUAGCUGGUCUGAGAGGAUUACCGGCCACACUGGAACUGAGACACGGUCCAGACCCCUACGGGAGGCAGCAGUGGGGAAUAUUGCACAAUGGGCGCAAGCCUGAUCCAGCCAUGCCGCGUGUAUGAAGAAGGUCUUCGGGUUGUAAAGUACUUUCAUCGGGGAGGCGUUACCCGCAGAAGAAGCCCCGGCUAACUCCGUGCCAGCAGCCGCGGUAAUAC